GACGAACGCUGGCGGCGUGCUUAACACAUGCAAGUCGAACGGAAAGGCCCUGCUUUUGUGGGGUGCUCGAGUGGCGAACGGGUGAGUAACACGUGAGUAACCUGCCCUUGACUUUGGGAUAACUUCAGGAAACUGGGGCUAAUACCGGAUAGGAGCUCCUGCUGCAUGGUGGGGGUUGGAAAGUUUCGGCGGUUGGGGAUGGACUCGCGGCUUAUCAGCUUGUUGGUGGGGUAGUGGCUUACCAAGGCUUUGACGGGUAGCCGGCCUGAGAGGGUGAACGGCCACAUGGGGACUGAGAUACGGCCCAGACUCCUACGGGAGGCAGCAGUGGGGAAUAUUGCACAAUGGGCGGAAGCCUGAGGCAGCAACGCCGCGUGCGGGAUGACGGCCUUCGGGUUGUAAACCGCUUUCGCCUGUGACGAAGCGGGAGUGACGGUAAUGGGUAAAGAAGCACCGGCUAACUACGUG
rnacentral:rRNA from 1 species